CUUCCAUUUUCUCUCUCUAAUUCAGAAGAUAGAAAAGCUCAGAGAUUUGAAAAGACCUGGAAAAAGUGAUGAACACUUCUCUCUCCCCUUCCCAAAGCCACAAUAUCUCCCAUCUAUGUGCGAGGCAUUAACCUCCAUAAAUGAGAAGACAGUCCCAUGCCAAUGGAAUACUAGCCCCAUUUCUGAUUGUUUUGGGAGGAGGCAACACGACCAGAAAAACUUUCAUCUGAAGAGCCACAACUUCUGGAAUAGCCCAUGUGGAAAGAAUCGCCAGAAUGAAAGCUUUAAAACAAAUCAGGACGACUAUCAGUUCAUUCUUCCAGCUGUGUGAAGCCAACAAAAGGCAAUAAGAAUGAUAUUAAAAUUAUCUUUUACACUCAGACAUGUUGCCAGCAGGGGUGGGUGUCUGGCAGUUUGUAUUCUUCAGUCCUACUGUUCUCAGGAAAACAGAGUAGGAAGACCAGAUAAGCCAUCUUGGG
rnacentral:lncRNA from 1 species